rnacentral:lncRNA from 1 species
CUCACCAUGACUCCAGUGCACAGGCAGACGAUCUUGCCCCACAUGGUGCCCGGCACCACGUCACCAUAGCCGAUGGUCAGGAAUGUGAUGGGGAUCAGCCAAAGUGUGUCUGAAAGGUGCCCAGUGGCAUUAACAGCCUGCCUAUGGGGAAGGGUAGGUUAGUUCUAAAACCCCACCAUAGAGGUUUCCAUGAUAUUCACUCCCCUUCCCUCUAUACCCUCCCAUCCCCUUCCCUCUGGUUCCCUCCCUUCCCCUCCCAGUAUACACCCAUAGUCCUAAGAAUCACCUGGACAAAAAGCCAUUAAGUUCUGAGCUUUGGAAAGCCUGCAUGGCCUCCUCUCUGCUGUGUGACCUGGGCAAGUUGCUUAGCCACUCUGGGAUUUGAGACUGGGUCUGGCCAAUCCCAAUGCCGGUAUGGUCUCAGCUAGGCUACCCGGGCUGCUGUAGCAUUCAGAGCGUGUGGUUGAGGGUGGAGAGUCGAUAGGGGGCCAAAACCCAGUCAGACCCUGACUGGUGGCUACAUCCACCCAGAGGAAGGGGUAUAUUUUUCUAAUUUCCACAAAGAUGCUGUGUGGUCCAGAAGUGGCCCUAUCAGGACCAAAAAGGACUCUAAAAAGGCUUGGUGGGACUCGGCCUUCCUUUCCUCUCACUUCACAGAGGAGACAUUUAAGUCCAGCCAUGGAAGGGGUUGAAACAUUGAGAUUUGUCUAACUUUGUCCACAGGCCCCUUGCCGCAAGACCAGCAGGGAAAGCUUCAUUCAUGAGGGCCCCUGACACCCCAGACCCACCGGGUUGGAGUUUCUAGGAGCGAAGAUGGAAUCUGUACUGUUCACAAACCCCACCCCCUCAUUCCGAAGUACAUUCUAGUUUCAGGACUUCUGCCUUGGAAUGUGGAACUUUGACUUCCUCCCCAUUCUCCCAUCAUUCAAUUGAGAAACAUGGUGGGGGGAUCAUUCAUUAAUCCUGAUUCUGACCAAUUUCCCAAUUGUGAAAACUAAGAUCCUGGAAGGUGAAGGAGUUUAAACUCAUGACAGAGGGCGGGCAUGGUAAUCCCAGCACUUUGGGAGGCUUAGGCAGGAGGAUCACUUGAAAUCAAGAGUUCAAAACCAGCCUGGGCAACACGGUAACGUGGUCUCUACUAAAAAUACAAAAACUAGUCAGGCAUGGUGGUGCACAUCCGUAAUCCCAGCCACUAGGGAGGCUGAGGCAUGAGAAUUGCUUGAAGCCGGGAGGCAGAGGUUGCAGGGAGCAGAGAUUGUGCCACUGCACGCUAGCCUGGAUAAUUGAGACUCCAGAUCAAAAAACAAGAACUGCCAGGGAGACUACAGAUGGUGGAACGUGACAUGCAUUUUUCAGAUGAGGAAACUGAGGCUCAGAGAGGAGAGAUCUAAAGCCAGAUCUUCUCAUUCUCCUCCUGCCCUGAAGGAUCUUUGCCACAUACACUAGACCAGAGGUUCUCAACCUUGGUUGGGCCAUAGAAUCACCUGGAAGGCUUGCUAAAGUGGAUUGCUGGCCCUACCCUCCAGGAUUCAGUAGGUCUGGAAGGGACCUGAGAGUUUUCAUUUGCAAGUUCCCAGGUGAUGCUGCUGGUCUUGAAAUCACACUUUGAGGACCACUGGCUGAGAUCACUCCCAACCUCGUUUUUCUCUGAAAGGGAUAGAAAUUGAGGCGCGGCAUCGGGUUACACAGUAUCUAGCUGGCAACCAGGAUCUAGUUCCAAUUCCCUGCUUGGAAUUAUUUUCCAGAGCAGUUCCAAAUCAUCCCCUUCCUAGGAUCACAAAAAGCACCUACCUACAGUGCAUUCCGUGCUAAUUGGGAAAAUAUGUCUCCUUCCUCCAAGGCAGAGGCAACCCUUUAGGCAGGUCCCAGAGAUAGGUUCGGAGACCGAACAGAUGGCCUGUAAACCUGAGGCAGAGGUCAGGCAGCCGGAAGGGAGGGGCUUUCUAGGGUCUGUGUGUGCGUUUGGGGAGACUGAAGGCUGCAGGUGGAGGAUUGGCUGGGGGCUUGUCUGUUGGUUCCUCUCACCCCAGUUGAUGGGAGUGUGGGCAAAUUUCAGCCAGCAAGAGGAGAAGGGGUCAAAGUGUGAACUUUCUCCACUGCUUGGUCCUAGGGGGCCUCAACCUGCACCGCGGCACAGGACGGCCGCCGUGGCUGUCCGGGGUUCCCCCCUGCGCAUUUAUGCCUCCAUCACCCUCACCUCUCGGCCACGGACAGCACCCAGGCGGUGGUCAGCCAGAGGCCAAGCGUGAGGCCGAGCAGCAGCAUGGCCAGGGACAGCAGCGCUUCCCCUUGGCCCAGGAAUCCCGGCCAGGGCUGCGGGGAGGUCAGCGGCGCCCCUAAAUCCUGCACGCACGGCGGGCCCCGCACGGGCGCCGGGUGCAGCCCACACACCACCAGCUCCAGCACGAUCUGCGCCGCCUGCCGCCCGGUCAGCGCCACGCGCCAGUCCCGCAGCCCGUUGUCGGUCAUGAACAGCUGCCGGUAGGGGGCCAAGAAGGGAGGGGUCAGGAGCAGGUCAGGCGCAGGUCAGGCGGCGGCCCGCGCCUGCCUGCGCCCUGAGAUAAGUGGGGUGUGCCGCCUGGCCAGGAGGGAGGGAGUGCAGGGCGGGAGAGGGAUAGGGAGGGAGCGGGACAGGACUUGAGGAAGACAUCUUUCCACUUUUUCCUCCUUCCCCACCACCCACCCCACUAGUUUCAGCCCACUUCCAGCCUUUGAACACUGACUGAGCGCCGACUGUGUGCCUGACAUUGUUCUAUGUGCUAAGGAUACACAGUGAACCCAACAGACCCCCCUGCCUCCCUAGAGCUUGCAUUCCACAUGCCUGGAGCUCGCUCCUACUCCCCUUUCGGUUGACACGCGUAAUAACUGUAAUAAUAAUAUCAGCAAUAACAAAGCCAUGGGCCGGGCGCGAUGGCUUACGCCUGUAAUCCCAGCACUUUGGGAGGCUGCGGUGGGUGGAUCACUUGAGGUCAAGAGUUUGAGACAAGCCUGGCCAACAUGGUGAAACUCCAUCUCUACUGAAAAAUACAAAAAUAAGCCGGGCAUGGUGGCGCACACCUAUAGUCCCAGCUUCUGGGGAGUCUGAGGUAGGAGAAUCACUUGAACCCAGGAGGCAGAGGUUGCAGUGAGCUGAGGUCAUGCCACUGCACUCUAGCCUGGGUGACAGAGCGAGACUCCAUCUCAAAAUAAACAAAACAAUAACAAUAACAAAAUCAGCAUGUACUGGGCACCGUGGAUACGCCAGGUACUGCUCUAUCCCGUUUACAUAUUGUGACUUAGUAAAUGCCCACAACCCAGUGAGAUUGAUAUUAUUAUUGCCCCCAUUUUAUAGAUGUGGAAGCUGAGGCCCAGGUCCCUUCCAUGGGCAAUGGCGCACUGGGCUACAGGCUACUUAGCUACUCUAUGAUAAGAUGAUAAUGUGCACUGUUUACUGAGCACCUCUUAUGUGCCAGGCACUGCUCAUAGAAUUGCCACACAUGGCCAAUAAUCCCCAUUUUACAUGCAAAGUUAUGAUAGGAGAGGGGGAAGAGGGGAAAGGGAAUGGAGCAACAGGAUCUGGGGCAAUGGGACAAUAGGGGAUGGGAUGUGUCUGGGUGAGACCCAAGGUGGGGUAUGGAUGGGGAGAGCUCCUGGGUCUGGGGCAAGAGGGAGGUUAUUGGCACAGAGAUAGGGUGAUUAGGAGUGGGCACCCCUGGGACCGGACCAGGUGCAGUGGCUCAAGCCCGUAAUCCUAGCACUUUGGGAGGACAAGGUGGGCAGACUGCUUGAGCUCAGUAGUUGGAGACCAGCCUGGACAACAUAGUGAAACCCCGUUUCUACUAAAAUACAAAAAAAUUAGCUGGGCGUGGUGGCAUCUGCCUGUAGUCACAGCUACUUGGGAGGCUGAGGCAUGAGAAUUGUUUGAACCCAGGAGGUGGAGGUUGCAGUGAGCAGAGAUCGUGCCACUCCACUCUAGCCUGGGCAACAGAGCAAGACCUUGUCUCAAAAAAAAAAAAAAAAAAAAAAAAAAAAAGGAGUGGGCAGCCCUAGGACCUUAGGUUGCUUGAGGACUGGAUUGGGGAUGCCAUGUCGGAGCACAGAGAUCUGGGAAGCUGAGUGCCUGGGAGCAGAGUGGACAGAGGCCUGGGGGCGGAAGCAGGGCUGCAAGGGCACUCUCAGCAUCCGUGAGUGUGCAAGGGGGGGCUGGGGACUACAGGGGAAGGCGGAGCUGGUGGGGGAGGCUCUGCCUGUCUGCUCAUGGUUCAUCCCAUCUGGGUAGGUGAGGGUGUGGACGCAGCACCUAGGGCAGAAGAACUUCAUUACUCAGAUCAGGAGGAGGAGGAGGGUGGAAAGUGUGAGCUGACAGGGCGCUGAGGGGGUUGGAGGGAGCAAGGCUUAGGGGCGGGGCCUGCCCUACCUGGACCUCUUUGGCAUGAAAGGCCACGAUGAGGCAGAGGAGUAAGAAGGUGGAAAUGCUGAUCGUGCAUUUAACCAGGAACAGGUAGAGCGCCCACUGUCAGGGGGGACGGAAAAAGCGGUGUGAGAUCCCAGGUCUCCCUCCGCCUGGCCCUCCACCUUUCCUUCAAAACCACCAUUUUUUUUUUUUGAUUCCCAAUUUUCCUAGCCUCCUUCCCCUGCAAAUCAGUCCCUCUUGAUGUGUCGGUUCUGGAGAAGUCUCAAAACCAUCAUCUGGGCCCAGUGCGGUGGCUCACACCUGUAAUCCCAACACUCUGGGAGGCUGAGGCAGGUGGAUCACCGAAGGUCGGGAGUUUGAGACCCCCUGGCCAACAUGGUGAAACCCAGUCUCUACUAAAAAAACAAAAAAUUAGCUGGGUGUGUAAUCCCAGCUACUUGGGAGGCUGAGGAACCAGAAUCUUGAACCCAGGAGGUGGAAGUUGCAGUGAGCUGAGAGAUCGCGCCACUGCACUCCAGCCUGGGCAACAGAGCGAGUCUCCGUCUCGAAACAAGCAAGCAAGCAAACAAACAAACAAAAAAACACCAUCAUCUGGUCCCCAGGAAUGCUCUCUUUCUCCCCAACAGGACAACCCUGUCCAGAUGCUGGUGUCUACCCUCUUCCUCAGCUCUUCUCCCAAGACCCAUACCCAUGAAGGGGGACCUUGAAACUCACAUUCCUUCUUAUUCCUGUCCCAUUUCACAUCAAAAAUAGUUCUUCAGGUGUGUGUGUGUGUGUGUGUGUGUGUGGGUGUGUGUGUGUGGUGUCUAGAAAAAGACAUCUAGCCUCUAGAGAGUGCCCCCUCCCCUUCCCUUCCUACCCACCUGGUGUUGUCCUAGAAACCAACUUCAAUCAACCCCAACCCCAGAUCUGGAAGAAUGUAGAAACUACCAUUCAAUCCUCAAAGACUGAGUCACACCCUUCUCUGCUCUCAUCCGGAGGGCUGAGUCCCUGAGACCCAGCCUCAGCUCUG